CCAAAUGGGCCAGUGCAAAUCCUACUUGGAUAACUGUGGUAAUUCCAGAGCUAAUACAUGCAACUGAUAUCCCGAAGGCGGUGUUUGUGCUUGCUUGUCUUGCGCUUGCGCUGCUCUGACGGAUGCUUUUAUUAGACCAAGCCGCUGAGGACUUGAGGGUUCGCGCUCUCUUGUUUGACUCGUGUGAUGGUGACUCUGGAUAACCAAAAUUUCUGACAAGCGCACGUACUUCUCUUCUGAGCGAGACGGCGCUGCCACUUUCGAGUGUCUGCCUUAUCAGCUAUCAACCGUUCGUUAUGCGCGACCGAUGGCUUUGACGGGUAACGGGGAAUCAGGGUUCGAUUCCGGAGAGGCAGCCUGAGAGACGGCUACCACGUCCAAGGACGGCAGCAGGCACGCAAAUUACCCAAUCCCAGCAAAUGGGGGAGGUAGUGACGAAAUCUAACGAUGCGGGCGCCCUUUCUGGGGCCCCGCAAUCGGAAUGGGCACUUUCUAAACAACCUGUUGAGAACCUACUGAAGG
rnacentral:rRNA from 1 species